AUUGAACGCUGGCGGCAGGCUUAACACAUGCAAGUCGAGCGAGCGGCGGACGGGUGAGUCAUGUCUGGGAAACUGCCUGAUGGAGGGGGAUAACUACUGGAAACGGUAGCUAAUACCGCAUACCAUCAGAUGUGCCCAGAUGGGAUUAGCUAGUAGGUGGGGUAAUGGCUCACCUAGGCGACGGUCCCUAGCUGGUCUGAGAGGAUGACGAGCCACCCUAGAGCUGAUACACGGUCCAACUCCCUACGGGAGGCAGCAGUGGGGAAUAGUGCACAGUGGGCGCAAGCCUGAUGCAGCCAUGCCGCGUGUGUGAAGAGGGCCUUCGGGUUGUAAAGCACUUUCAGCGAGGAGGCGUUACUCGCAGAAGAAGCACCGGCUAACUCCGUGCCAGCAGCCGCGGUAAUUC
rnacentral:rRNA from 1 species